GUGAACAUCAUCCCACUCCUAAAAUAACACCCCACUUUCUCAUUGUCCUCCGCCGUUGGUUCAACCCUAACCCCCAAUAUUUUUCUUCCACUACUCUACUUCCGGACUCUAGAUCCACAUGAACAAAAAAAUUUAAAUCCUUGCUCGAAAUCUCCAUCUCAAAUUCCAGAUAGUCCAUAUAGAUAGGUGGAGGAGCACAUGUAAGAUCGGAUCUCUUGCUUCCAAUUUCCUUGCGUGAAAUUUAUAUCCCAACCCAUAUUUUUCUGUAUGCACAAAUCAAGGUUGGUUCCAGAGAGUACUUCAACUAGCAUUCUACCAUGUUUGAUAUAAUUUUACGGGGUCAUCUGGAAUCACAGAAAUGAGGUUCUGUUUAGAAAUGUUGCUGCAAACCAAGCUAGUGUCUUGCGGAAAAUUGAUUGCUACAUAACUGCGAAUGAGGAAAGCUUGACAACCUCGUACCAACUUUGGAAGUAUCUAAAAUGCAGGAAUUUUCAACGUCAGGCUUCUAAAUGAGCAUCCAUAUACUAUCAUUGGGGAGGCAGAUAGUACCAUUCUUCUAGUGAGAGAUGGAGCAUGUAAGAGGUCUAAGAGAACUAGUAAGGUUAUUGCAUAGACUGGUCGGCCCAUUGGAAACGACUCUGGUGGUUGUACUACAGGUGUUAAGAAGAUUCUAUUUGAAGCUGCGGAAAAGGCAUCUUUGGCCAAAAAAUCUGGAGUUAGUGUUUUGUUGUGGUAUAUUAUAGAGGACCAUCGUCUAAGUUUCAUUCACUUGCAUGUCUGAGUGCUACAAUUAUUAACAAAGCGUGACUUCUUAAGUAUAGGUGACAAGUUUGACCAAGGUCGAUGAUGCAUUUGAAGAUUUUGGUGAUGGGAGAAAGGAAUCAAGCUAGGGACGAUGCAUAGCUUCUUCAACUAUGAAGGCAAUCAAGGUCGCAUUAUGAAACUUUAACUUAAAGCCUUUUGAAGAAUGACCUUUAUUUUUUUUGAUUAUGAGUAAUAGGUUGGAAUCAUAAGCAGAGGUGAUAGAUGUUUUGAUUUUAAGUUUGUGUUUAGGAGACGAUACUAUCUAAUUAAAUAGUUUUGAUGAUAUCUAAACUUUGAUUAUAUAUUUUGGAUGUAUUAAUAUAUACAUGAAUUGCUAUUAUCUUUCAUUGAUUGA